GAAAUGCGAUAAGCAAUGUGAAUUGCAGAAUUCAGUGAAUCAUCGAAUCUUUGAACGCACAUUGCGCCCGCCAGUAUUCUGGCGGGCAUGCCUGUUCGAGCGUCAUUUCAACCAUCAAGCCCCCGGCUUGUGUUGGGGACCUGCGGCUGCCCGCAGGCCCUGAAAAACAGUGGCGGGCUCGCUGUCACACCGAGCGUAGUAGCAUACAUUCUCGCUCAGGGCGUGCUGCGGGUUCCGGCCGUUAAACGACCUUCAUAACCCAAGGUUGACCUCGGAUCAGGUAGGAAGACCCGCUGAACUUAAGC
rnacentral:misc_RNA from 1 species